UACAGAGGUCUCAAGCGUUGUUCGGAUUCAUUGGGCGUAAAGGGUGCGUAGGUGGCGCCGUAAGUCAGGUGUGAAAUUUCGGAGCUUAACUCCGAAACUGCAUUUGAUACUGCGGUGCUUGAGGACUGGAGAGGAGACUGGAAUUUACGGUGUAGCAGUGAAAUGCGUAGAGAUCGUAAGGAAGACCAGUGGCGAAGGCGGGUCUCUGGACAAUUCCUGACACUGAGGCACGAAGGCCAGGGGAGCAAACGGG
rnacentral:rRNA from 1 species